GCUGGAGGCUGGCCCCACCUUCCCCUGAGCCCCAGCCACAGGGUACGGGAUAACAGAGGCCCGGCCCCGCCUGGGAGCA